AUGAUGCUGUUGUGGCUGUUGGCAGGAAGCAUCCUCACAUUUUCAGUUUAAAUGCAUUCCUCCUGAUCUUUCCAAAAGACGGAGGCAGAACAGCUGGUUGCCAUACUCUGCGUAAAGUCCUUUGGGUAAAUUGAAG
rnacentral:lncRNA from 1 species